AAGCUGCGAAGAUCAUGGGGGAGUUGAUAGAAGAUUUAAGAGUUUGUCCUCUACGUGACGCACUCCUGAAAUUAGAUUAUUGUCGUCAUCCUAUUCCUCUACUGUACCAGUAGUUGAUGUUAGUUCUGAUGAUGAAAGUUGACAUUCUGACCAGACUCCUCAAGCAUCUAAUAUUGAAAGUCCACCAGUCUCAUCUUCAAACAGUGUAAACACUCCAUCAAAUCCAGCCAGCCUUGUUGCCGAAAUUAAACCAAUUCCUCUGGCCCCCCCCCCCC